UAUUCAUGUACAGAAUGGUAUCCGAGGUGGUUCAAGUGAUUAUAAGCGGACAUUUUUGUUGAACUAAUGCAGGAUUUAAUAAAUGAAAGUUUAACAGACUAUGGGCUCCAAAGUUUAGUAACAAGAGGAUUUUUUAAAUAUGUGAGACUCAUCAACAUUAAAAAGUGCAGAAGUGAAAUGUCACCAUAUUUAUUAAAAAAAAUCAGAUUAUUGACUCAGUUGUUUUCAUGAAUAUUUUGUUUUAAGCAAUUUCACUGUUAUAUAAUUAAUAAGAUUCCACGUUUAUUUUAUACUUCUGACAACCGAAUAUUAUAUCUUCCCUCUGGCCUCAAGUGUUUCCCUUUUAUUUUGCAUGAGUGUAAUUUAAAAAAGCUCGCUUUUAGUUUUGGGCAAAUUCAAGUUUUGCCAUUCCAGAAUUAUUCGACUUUUUUCCUGGUAAAUUAGACAUGUACCCACAUGUUGUAUUUUGCUUUGGUACUUUUUCAAGAAAUUGUGGAUCAAGGCUGAAUUUUAUCAAAUAAGCUCAUUUUUGGAUAUUUAUCACAUAUCACAUACUUGAAUAAUCUUUAAAAUUGAGAAUAUAGAUGGGCAAUGUGUCAAAGAGAUAACAACCCAACCAAAGAGCAGAAAACGAGCAGAACCAGUAGUAUGCUUAUAUUGAUUUACUUCACUUUUGCCUUGUUGUUGAGAUUGAGUGAAAGAAUUUUUGUUUUGUUUAUUCCUAUCAAUUAGGGGGUGGGGACCAGUAUUCAACACUGCAUAACUAAAUGUAUAUCCCAUCACCAGAUAUGAAGCAGCCAACCAUACAAAAUAGGCCCCCCGUCACUAAAAGGAGAAAAGAGAUGCACAACAUACAAAAUAUUCCAUAAGGCUAGCUACAUUGUAUCAUUUGAAAUUAUAUUUCAUUUAUUUUUUUUACAUGUGGAAUUGUUUUUUGUAAGUAGUUAUUUAUUCAAUUCAAGGUAAUAAAUACAGUUACCUUUCAGUAAUAUGAAAAUUAGAAAGUUGGGGUAUGAUCAAUGCCAAUAAGACAACUCUCCACCAGAUAUCAAAUGUCUAAAAAGAUUAACUUGAACAAAAAGCAGUUAGUGAGCCACAUGUAUAAAAGACCCUGUUACAUGACACAAGACAGGCUGAAAAGGAAUAUUCUGCAUCUGUAUGCAAAAGUGAAAAUAUGUUUAGAAAUAAAUGCAUGUGUAGCAAUGGAUGCAAAUGAAUAGUCAAUCCAGACAAAAUCUCCAACGUUUUGGCAUAUGUGGUUUAUGCACAAAAUUGUCAACCAAAUUUUACAUACUUCAUUCAAAUAAUUUACAUUAAAGAGGACAACAAAAAAAAAAAAAAAGAACAGGGCGAAUGGGUAUAAGGGCAAAGCACCCAGGGCGAACAAGUACAUAGGCGGAUCCAGGGGGGCCCCCCUUUCGUGGGAAAAAUUUGGUUGAUUAUAUAGGGAAUCAUUGAAGCAUGACUGGAGCGCCCCCC
rnacentral:lncRNA from 1 species